UGAAAAUUUUCCUAUAUAUACUCUUGCCAUGAAAACAUAUGUGUUAAAAAUAAAAUGGAUUCAUCAAGAUAUUUUGCUCUCAAGUUCGCAAUCUUGGUUGUUUUCUUCCUCAUUGCAUCAGAUAUUUGCUUGAAAAGUGUAGAAGGAAGAGUGAAAGAUGAGAUUAUGGGUACUUUAGCUUGUGACGCAGAAUGUCCAAAGUCCUGCACAGCUGAUACAGAAUGUGGGAAUUGUUGUGAUUGUGUUAAAAAGGGUUCUGCUCCUUAUUGUAAGGACAAAUCAUGCAUAUGUGGAGUAAGUCCGCAUGUCUUUUAAAAUAUUUGUAGUCCACUUCCGACAAUUGCAAUUUGAGUUUUGGAGUACUGUAAUUUGUAAUGCAACGGUUGUGGAUGGAUGAGAAUAAUAAA